rnacentral:rRNA from 1 species
AACGAACGCUGGCGGCAUGCCUAACACAUGCAAGUCGAACGAGACCUUCGGGUCUGGUGGCGCACGGGUGCGUAACGCGGGGGAACCUGCCCGUAGGUUCGGAAUAACUCCCCGAAAGGGGUGCUAAUACCGGAUAAUAUCUUCGGACCAAAGAGUUGACGCCUUGGGAUGGGCGAGCGUUGGAUAAGCUAGUUGGUAGGGUAAAAGCCUACGAAGGCGAGGAUCCAUAGCUGGUCUGAGAGGAAGAUCCGCGACACUGGGGCUGAGACACGGCCCAGACUCUUAGGGAAUGGAGGAGUGGGGGAUCCAGGACAGCCGCGGACAGGCUGAUGCAGCUCUGCCGGGUGAGUGCUGAAGGACUGAGGGAAGAAACGCUCUUUUAUCCGGGGUGAAAAUGACGGUACCGGAAGAAUAAGCUCCGGCUAACUACGUG